rnacentral:piRNA from 1 species
CAAAGCAUUGCACUGACAUCCCGGUCUUGG